AUAACGGUCCUAAGGUAGCGAAAUUCCUUGUCGGGUAAGUUCCGACCUGCACGAAUGGCGUAACGACUUCUCCGCUGUCUCGGCCCAGUGCUCAGCGAAUUUGAAAACCGGGUGCAGAUGCCCGGUACCCGCAGUAAGACGGAAAGACCCCGUGAACCUUUACUAUAGCUUUGCACUGGACUUUGAAUUUGCUUGUUAGGAUAGGUGGG
rnacentral:rRNA from 1 species